rnacentral:misc_RNA from 1 species
UCUCCGUUGGUGAACCAGCGGAGGGAUCAUUACUGAGUUACCGCUCUAUAACCCUUUGUGAACAUACCUAACUGUUGCUUCGGCGGGCAGAGGUCCCUCGCGGAUCUCUCCCGGCAACGCCCUCACGGGCGGAGCGCCCGCCGGAGGAUACCAAACUCUAUUUUAACGACGUUUCUUCUGAGUGGAACAAGCAAAUAAUUAAAACUUUUAACAACGGAUCUCUUGGUUCUG